rnacentral:rRNA from 1 species
AUGCACGCUGGCGGCGUGCCUCAUGCAUGCAAGUCGAGCGAACAGACGAGGAGCUUGCUCCUCUGACGUUAGCGGCGGACGGGUGAGUAACACGUGGAUAACCUACCUAUAAGACUGGGAUAACUUCGGGAAACCGGAGCUAAUACCGGAUAAUAUAUUGAACCGCAUGGUUCAAUAGUGAAAGACGGUUUUGCUGUCACUUAUAGAUGGAUCCGCGCCGCAUUAGCUAGUUGGUAAGGUAACGGCUUACCAAGGCAACGAUGCGUAGCCGACCUGAGAGGGUGAUCGGCCACACUGGAACUGAGACACGGUCCAGACUCCUACGGGAGGCAGCAGUAGGGAAUCUUCCGCAAUGGGCGAAAGCCUGACGGAGCAACGCCGCGUGAGUGAUGAAGGCCUUCGGAUCGUAAAACUCUGUUAUUAGGGAAGAACAAAUGUGUAAGUAACUAUGCACGUCUUGACGGUACCUAAUCAGAAAGCCACGGCUAACUACGUG